GCGCCCGUAGCUCAGCUGGAUAGAGUACUGCCCUCCGAAGGCAGGGGUCGGACGUUCAAGUCGUCUCGGGCGUGCCA
rnacentral:tRNA from 1 species